UCCGGUUGAUCCCGCCGGACCCCACUGCUAUCGGGAUAGGACUAAGACAUGCUAGUUGAGCGCUUCCAGCCAACACGGGAGCGCAGCGCACAGCUCAGUAACACGUGGCUAAUCUGCCCUUGGGACUGGAACACCCCCGGGAAACUGGGGCUAAUUCUUGAUAGGUGAAGAACUCUGGAAUGAGUCUUCGCCAAAAAGACGCUUACGUUAUGCUCGUAGGCGCCGCCCAAGGAUGAGGCCGCGACCGAUCAGGUUGUUGGUGAGGUAAUGGCUCACCAAGCCUUUUACCGGUGCGGGUCGUGAGAGCGGGAGCCCGGAGAUGGGCACUGAGACAAGGGCCCAGGCCCUACGGGGCGCAGCAGUCGCGAAAACUUUGCAAUACACGAAAGUGUGACAGGGCUAUCCCGAGUGCCAUCCGCUGAGGAAGGCUUUUACCCAGUCUAGAACGCUGGGGGAAUAAGGAGAGGGCAAGUCUGGUGUCAGCCGCCGCGGUAAUACCAGCUCUCCGAGUGGUGUGGAUGUUUAUUGGGCCUAAAGCAUCCGUAGCUGGCUAAGUUAGUCCCUUGUUAAAUCCACCGAAUUAAUCGUUGGAUUGCGGGGGAUACUGCUUGGCUAGGGGACGAGAGAGGCAGACGGUAUUUCCGGGGUAGGGGUGAAAUCCUACAAUCCCGGGAAGACCACCAGUGGCGAAGGCUGUCUGCUAGAACGCGCCCGACGGUGAGGGAUGAAAGCUGGGGGAGCGAACCGGAUUAGAUACCCGGGUAGUCCCAGCUGUAAACGAUGCAGGCUAGUGUUUGGACGGCCACGUGCCGUUCUAGUGCCGCAGGGAAGCUGUUAAGCCUGCCGCCUAGGAGUACGAUCGCAAGAUUGAAACUUAAAGGAAU
rnacentral:rRNA from 1 species